AGCAACUAUUGAUAGAAUGCGUAUGAGCCUGAGCUGGGUAUCUCAUGAAGCACUUGGACAUCUUACACAGCAGGCUUUGUCCUGGGAGCUUGAUGAGUGUGCAACCAUGUUUGUAGCAGCUCUAUUUGUAAUACCCAGAAGCUGGAAACAGCCCAGAUGCCCCUCAGUGGAGGAAUGGAUACAGAAAUUGUGGUACAUCUACACAAUGGAAUAUUACUCAGUGAUGAUAAAAAAAAAACAAACAAACAAGGAAAUCAUGAAAUUUGCAGGAGGAAGCAGCCUUACCAGGCCACAGAAGAAGACAAUGCAGCCACUCCUGAUGAGACCUGAUAGACUAGGAUCAAAGGGAAGGGGAGGAGGACUUCCCUUAUCAGUGGACUGGGAGAGGCUCAUGGGAG